UUGGACCUGAUAUCAGGGAAGAAUUACCCGCCUGAACUUAA
rnacentral:rRNA from 1 species